CCUACGGGAGGCAGCAGUGAGGAAUAUUGGUCAAUGGACGAGAGUCUGAACCAGCCAAGUAGCGUGAAGGAUGACUGCCCUAUGGGUUGUAAACUUCUUUUAUAUGGGAAUAAAAUGUUCCACGUGUGGGAUUUUGUAUGUACCAUAUGAAUAAGGAUCGGCUAACUCCGUGCCAGCAGCCGCGGUAAUACGGAGGAUCCGAGCGUUAUCCGGAUUUAUUGGGUUUAAAGGGAGCGUAGGUGGGUUGUUAAGUCAGUUGUGAAAGUUUGGGGCUCAACCGUAAAAUUGCAGUUGAAACUGGCAGUCUUGAGUACAGUAGAGGUAGGCGGAAUGCGUGGUGUAGCGGUGAAAUGCUUAGAUAUCACGAAGAACUCCGAUUGCGAAGGCAGUUCACUGGCCUGCAACUGACGCUGAGGCUCGAAAGUGUGGGUAUCAAACAGGAUUAGAUACCCGUGUAGUC
rnacentral:rRNA from 1 species